rnacentral:lncRNA from 1 species
CUACGUACCCUUUCGACUAAUAUUAAUGUGUUACUACAUGUCGUAACUAACAAUUUUAUGAAAAUAUUUUGUCAAUAUCUUAUAUGAUUUCUGAAAAUAAGAGAUCACAAGCCAAAAUCAAAAUUUUAAUCAUGACCUUGACCAUUGACCUUGACCUCAUUUUCAUUUUUUUGGACCAAGGACCUCAAAACAAAAGACCCUAGGCCUCUAACACUUAUGGUUUUCCAGUUAAAAAUGCAUAUCACUUAUAUCAAAUAUAAAAGGGGAAAUAACUCUCAUAUGGAGUCU